rnacentral:rRNA from 1 species
GACGGAGGGUGCUAGCGUUGUUCGGAAUUACUGGGCGUAAAGGGCACGUAGGCGGUCUCGUCAGUCGGGUGUGAAAGCCCGGGGCUCAACCCCGGAACGGCACCCGAGACGGCGGGACUGGAGACCGGGAGAGGAGGGUGGAAUAGCCAGUGUAGAGGUGAAAUUCGUAGAUAUUGGCUGGAACACCGGUGGCGAAAGCGGCUCUCUGGCCCGGUUCUGACGCUGAGGCGCGAAAGCGUGGGGAGCAAACAGG